AUAAAUUAACUUCAUCUUUAGAUUCUCUACACGUGGGAAACAAUCCCCCACUGUCUUCCACAACUGCUUGUUUGGUUGUUUUUGUCUCUAUUAGUGUAUAUUUAUGUUAUAAUUUAUAUUAUUGAAGUGGUUGGAAGGGUUUGUUUUGUGUAGGUUUUUGGUAAGUUAGAAAAUGUUCCUCAGUUGCGUGAGGUCAGAAUGGAGGUCUUUUGAAGGCUUGUUGGUUAAUAAGGAGUGUUGGCUUGUUAAUGUUGAAAUUCUAUGGACUUAAUGUUGCUCUGU